rnacentral:rRNA from 1 species
GACGAACGCUGGCGGCGUGCUUAACACAUGCAAGUCGAACGGAAAGGCCCCUUCGGGGGUACUCGAGUGGCGAACGGGUGAGUAACACGUGAGUAACCUGCCCUUGACUUCGGGAUAACUUCAGGAAACUGGGGCUAAUACCGGAUAGGAAUCCUUGCUGCAUGGUGGGGGUUGGAAAGCUUCGGCGGUUUUGGAUGGACUCGCGGCUUAUCAGCUUGUUGGUGGGGGAGUGGCUUACCAAGGCUUUGACGGGUAGCCGGCCUGAGGGGGCGACCGGCCACAGUGGGACUGAGAUACGGCCCAGACUCCUACGGGAGGCAGCAGGGGGGAAUAUUGCACAAUGGGCGGAAGCCUGAUGCAGCAACGCCGCGGGCGGGAGGACGGCCUUCGGGUUGUAAACCGCUUUCAGCAGGGGCGAAGCUUGUGGUGACGGUACCUGCAGAAGAAGCACCGGCUAACUACGUG